GGAUAAAUUGAGGGGUAUGAAAUGCAAAAGGUGUGAAAAUUGGUUUUUGGGGCUUCGUAUUAAGUCAAUCAUGAUCUUUCUCCAAGUUUCUAGGCCGCCCUUAGAAUUGCAAAUUAUUGUACUACCAGCAUCACCAUCUCUCUCUCUCUCUCUCUCUCUCUCUCUAUACAAUGGAUACACCAUGGAAUUCUUCUUAUCUUCAUGAGAAACAAAAAAGGUGGUUGGACCCCCUUAUCCGCCAAGACAAAGGAGGAGGGGAGGAAUAUUCAGAGUUCUGUUAUAGGAGUAGAAUUCUUUUCAUUGUAUCAUAUUUUUGAUAAUCACCAAAACAUUGGCAUACCAUUGCCUGACAACGAGAGAGAGCACGCUAGUCUGCAUUCAUGCAUCGAGCAUGACUGUUUACAAGCGUGCUCUCUCUCGUUGUCAUAGAUUUGCUUGCUGAAGUGGGUUGAUUUCUCUUUUUGUUUCUUUGCAUAUGCAGUAGCAGGUGACUUUUACCUACCCAUAGCUUGGAGUUUGUUUUUAGCUAAGCUACUUUCAUAGCUCCAUGUUUUUUAAGUUCCUUUUCCAAAAUAUAUAUGCAUGCCAAAAUCAACUCUAAAAAGUUUGAAUCUGGAUCCUCUAGUGCAUUGUAUGUAGUGCUUCUGUGGUUUUCCCCAUUUUCUUCCCUCUCCUUCCCUUCCAUAUCUCCAAAAUGACAUCGCGUUAAGGCACUACAGACAAUACACUACAGAAGAUCUGGACGAAUACUUAUUGAGUUUCUUAUUUCAUGUUAAGCUUGAUUAGCCACUAAAUUUUUAUUGUUAGUGAAGGAUGAACAGUAGGUAUAUGUUUAACACAUACAAGUCAAACAUUUUUCGAAAACCUGGGCAAAAGGAAUAGAAACCUGUGCUAGUGCUGUUGAUGCAAAAGUCUUUUUUUCAUAUACAUAUAUAUAUAUAUAUAUAUAGAGAGAGAGAGAGAGAGAGAGAGAGAGAGAGAGAGAGAGAGAAUGGUGAUGAGCAAUUCGAUUGUUCUGAUGAACAGUAGGCUCUUUCCAUUGAGCAACAAAGUCGAGGUAAAAAUUUUCAAAUCUGUACCUUUAAGCAGUCAUUUUAAUGAUGAAUUUGGGUGCUGAUAGGUGUUUCUAAUUUUCUUCUAUUUCAAAAGUUUGAAGGAACAUGCGACUUUAUGCUAUGAAGUGAAAUGCAUCACGGCUGAUUCUUUUCAUGGCUGUGAUGAUGUUUUCAGUGCUCUUCAGGACUUUAGUCUUUGGCCUGUAAUUGACUUGUGUAUAUCUUGUUCUUCCUCCUCUUCUUUAGGACGGUUUUAAUGAUUUUGCUGUUUGCUUUUUUUGGUAUUAGGUACUAAACAUGAUCUUUUGAACAAAAAACAUACCUUGAGCAUUGUUUUGAAAGAAUGUGAGCUCUAUUACAGAUUAUUUGCUUUUAUGCUUCCAGAAAGCAGUUGAAGUUGGAUCACAAUAUAAAUAUAUAUAUAUAUUUUCCCAAUGUUAGUUGGAUUGGAUGCAAUGUGUAUGCAUAAUUUGACUAUGGACAAACUAGAACUAGGAAAACAUUUGACAGUGGACGGAACUGUUGCAAAUAGGAGAGCUAACUACUGAACAGUGCAAGAGUUUAGGAUUUCCGGUAUAAAAAAAAAAAAAAAAAAAGAAAGGGAAAAUGUUUGGAA